rnacentral:lncRNA from 10 species
GGUUUUAUUUCCCUGGUGAUACAUGAAGAAAUUGGUUCAGUGAAGACACCAACUUUCCAGAAGUAUGAAAAUCUUCAGACUCCGGGCCCAUGGGAGCCCACAGAGGGUGUGGUCAAGAAAAGGAGGCAAGCCUCCGUCCUUGGUAGAGGGCCGAUUGCUGAAGGCUUCUCACCAGCUUCAGGACACUGGUUUCUGAAGUUCAGUUUCUAUCUCAAUAGGGGAGGAGAGAAAAGCAAAGA